rnacentral:rRNA from 1 species
AUUCGAAGCAACGCGAAGAACCUUACCAGGUCUUGACAUCCCGAUGCUAUUUCUAGAGAUAGAAAGUUACUUCGGUACAUCGGUGACAGGUGGUGCAUGGUUGUCGUCAGCUCGUGUCGUGAGAUGUUGGGUUAAGUCCCGCAACGAGCGCAACCCUUGAUCUUAGUUGCCAGCAUUCAGUUGGGCACUCUAAGGUGACUGCCGGUGACAAACCGGAGGAAGGUGGGGAUGACGUCAAAUCAUCAUCGCCCCUUAUGACCUGGGCUACACACGUGCUACAAUGGACGGUACAAAGGGCUGC